rnacentral:rRNA from 1 species
GACGAACGCUGGCGGCGUGCUUAACACAUGCAAGUCGAACGGAAAGGCCCUGCUUUUGUGGGGUGCUCGAGUGGCGAACGGGUGAGUAACACGUGAGUAACCUGCCCUUGACUUUGGGAUAACUUCAGGAAACUGGGGCUAAUACCGGAUAGGAGCUCCUGCUGCAUGGUGGGGGUUGGAAAGUUUCGGCGGUUGGGGAUGGACUCGCGGCUUAUCAGCUUGUUGGUGGGGUAGCGGCUUACCAAGGCUUUGACGGGUAGCCGGCCUGAGAGGGUGACCGGCCACAUUGGGACUGAGAUACGGCCCAGACUCCUAUGGGAGGCAGCAGUGGGGAAUAUUGCACAAUGGGCGGAAGCCUGAUGCAGCAACGCCGCGUGUGGGAUGACGGCCUUCGGGUUGUAAACCGCUUUCGCCUGUGACGAAGCGUGAGUGACGGUAAUGGGUAAAGAAGCACCGGCUAACUACGUG